rnacentral:rRNA from 1 species
AUACAACUUUCAGCAACGGAUCUCUUGGCUCUCGCAUCGAUGAAGAACGCAGCGAAAUGUGAUAAGUAAUGUGAAUUGCAGAAUUCAGUGAAUCAUCGAAUCUUUGAACGCACCUUGCGCUCCUUGGUAUUCCGAGGAGCAUGCCUGUUUGAGUGUCAUUAAAUUCUCAAC